AUGGAUCCAAGAACUAAAAAGUUGAUAAUAGAUACUAUUCAUGUGUAUGAAUAGUAUUACUCGUGUAAUCUAUUUAAUAGUUAAAAAAGAAAAAAUAUAUAGAAUUUAUCAGAACUGUAGACUAUUUUGAAUCUCGGAAUCAACUUUUGAAAAAUUUGAUUUUACUGUCAACCUUUCGAUUUGUUUACUUUGAGUCACGUAAAUGCACUUUGAUUUCAAAUUUCAAAUUAUUUUUUAUUAUUUUAAUAAAUUCAUUGUUGCCAGAAUAAUAUGAAAUACACUAACUAAAUUCGUAAAGAUAAACAAUAUAUUUCAAUUUUGAAGUCACGGUAGUGCCAAGUGGUUAGUCAAUUCAGAAUGGUCUAUUGAUUAAAAAUUUAUAUGAAUCAAUCCAUAAUUGCAAAAUUUUUAGGGGCGCAUGUGAAAUUAUCCUAAAUUGAAAAAGAAGCUAUAACGGAUCGACCCUAGUGCAAGCGAUAAAAGAUUUGAUGGUUGGUAUAAUGAAAUCUAAUAUCUAAAAUUUGAAUUAUAGUUUGAAUUAUAGUUGAUUCACAUUUCCAAUUAAGUUUAUUAAAAAAUAAAAUAAACUAAGCAGUUAGCAUGGUAUUUUUUUUUUUUUUAAAAAAAGAAGCUGUGUUUGGUGUUCGGGGGC
rnacentral:lncRNA from 1 species